GGGGAAGGAUGAGAAGCUUCGACCAAGGUUCGACUCGAGCGAAGCGAGAGAACGUUGCCGCAGGCAACGGCCCGAAGGGCGAGGCGCUUUAGCGCCGAGUAAUCCUUCCCCCACCACCA
rnacentral:sRNA from 1 species